ACACAUGCAGUCGAGCGGUAACAGGGGAGCUUGCUCCUGCUGACGAGCGGCGGACGGGUGAGUAACGCGUAGGAAUCUACCUAGUAGAGGGGGACAACAUGUGGAAACGCAUGCUAAUACCGCAUACGCCCUAAGGGGGAAAGGAGGGGACUUUUCGGAGCCUUCCGCUAUUAGAUGAGCCUGCGUAAGAUUAGCUAGUUGGUAGGGUAAAGGCCUACCAAGGCGACGAUCUUUAACUGGUCUGAGAGGAUGGCCAGUCACACUGGGACUGAGACACGGCCCAGACUCCUACGGGAGGCAGCAGUGGGGAAUAUUGGACAAUGGGCGGAAGCCUGAUCCAGCCAUGCCGCGUGUGUGAAGAAGGCCUUAGGGUUGUAAAGCACUUUCAGGGGUGAGGAAGGGUAGCUAGUUAAUACCUAGUUAUCUUGACGUUAGCCCCAGAAGAAGCACCGGCUAACUCUGUGCCAGCAGCCGCGGUAAUACAGAGGGUGCAAGCGUUAAUCGGAAUUACUGGGCGUAAAGCGCGCGUAGGUGGUUUGUUAAGUCGGAUGUGAAAUCCCAGGGCUCAACCUUGGAAUGGCACCCGAUACUGGCAGGCUAGAGUAUGGUAGAGGGGUGUGGAAUUUCCUGUGUAGCGGUGAAAUGCGUA
rnacentral:rRNA from 2 species